GAUGAACGCUAGCUACAGGCUUAACACAUGCAAGUCGAGGGACCGGCGCACGGGUGAGUAACACGUAUCCAACCUGCCCUUUACUCGGGGAUAGCCUUUCGAAAGAAAGAUUAAUACCCGAUAUAAAGGAUGGGGAUGCGUUCCAUUAGGUUGUUGGUGAGGUAACGGCUCACCAAGCCUUCGAUGGAUAGGGGUUCGGAGAGCAAGAUCACCCACAUGGGAACGGAGACACGGUCCAAAGUCAUACGGGAGGCAGAAGGCAGAAAGAUUGGUCAAUGGUGCCUAGCCUGAACCAGCCAGGUAGCGUGAAGGAUGAAGGUUUAUGGGUCGUAACUUUCUUUUAUAUAAGAAUCUGUCUUAAAUGAAUAAGGAUCGGCUAACUCCGGGACAGCCGCCGGGGUAAUAC
rnacentral:rRNA from 1 species